rnacentral:rRNA from 1 species
UACGAAGGGGGCUAGCGUUGCUCGGAAUCACUGGGCGUAAAGGGUGCGUAGGCGGGUCUUUAAGUCAGGGGUGAAAUCCUGGAGCUCAACUCCAGAACUGCCUUUGAUACUGAAGAUCUUGAGUUCGGGAGUGGUGAGUGGAACUGCGAGUGUAGAGGUGAAAUUCGUAGAUAUUCGCAAGAACACCAGUGGCGAAGGCGGCUCACUGGCCCGAUACUGACGCUGAGGUGCGAAAGCGUGGGGAGCGAACAGG